UUGAAACACCAGUUCUUGUAUGAUCACCGAAGUUAAGCAAUGUCGAACCUGGUUAGUACCUAGAUGGGUGACCAUUUGGGAAUACCAGGUGCUAUA